rnacentral:rRNA from 1 species
CUGCAUAAGCUGUGUCGGUGGCAUAUCAUGAAGAAGUACAAAGACCACCUCACCUUGCUGUAUAAGGCGCACGAGAAACUCAAGGAUGAACUCAAUGCGGUGCUGAACCACCCACUAAUGCCGUCAGAAUUUGAACAAGCAUGGAAAAACCUCAUUCAGAGGUACAACUUGCAAGACGGCAAAGUGAUGAAUUCACUGUGGGAUGACAGGCACGAGUGGAUCUCGGCUUACUACAAGGAAAUUUUCUGUGCUCGGAUGACUUCCACACAAAGAAGCGAGAGCAUGAACCGCAUACUGAAGAAAAAUUUUGUCAGGGAGAAGCAUGAUCUCCAUCUGUUUGCUCAGCAGGUGGAUACGUGCAUUCGGACCAGGAAGGCCGUCGAGCACGCAGAGACAGUAGCAAAUGAGUCAGAGGUAAAAACAACAACCAAGUUUGGGUUCGAAGUUCAGCUAUCAAAAGUGUAUACAAGGGCAGUGUUUGCAUAUUUCAAAGAAACACUCUACCGUAGCACUACAUUCAGAGCAAAACGGUGCCCUGAGAACCCGACAAAGUAUCUCGUACACCACUACAACAGAUCAGACGCAUUUGACUGGGCAAGGCAUAAUUUCCAAGUGGUCGCCGAUGAAGAGAAAGGUGUCUACGAAUGUGAGUGCAAACUCUGGGCACACACAGGGCUCUUUUGCGUCCAUGUGUUAUGCAUGCUUUCUCAUUUGAGAGUACUCAAGAUUCCUGAGGUGUACAUCAUGAAAAGAUACACACGUAACGCAAGAUCAGAUGCAAUGUUUGACAGAAGAGACUACGAACAAACAACACCAGAUGGAACCUCGCUUUUUUGCCGUAGUAAAUUGCUGACAGAAACAACAAUGGACCUUGCAAACAGAGCGAAAAGGUCCGACGCUGGGUGCCACAGAGCGUUGUCUGGUAUGAGGGCACUGAUCGAGGAAGUUGACAUGCUCAAGGAAGAAGAAGAAGAAGCAGCAUAA